GCCGAGGUGGCCCAGUUGGUGAGAGCGGGCGGCUCAUAACCGUCAGGUCGGGAGUUCGAGUCUCCCCCUCGGCA
rnacentral:tRNA from 1 species